UACGGAGACUGCGAGCGUUACUCGGAUUUACUGGGCGUAAAGGGUGCGCAGGCGGUUAUGUGUGUUGAGUCUGGAAGUCGGUGACUUAAUUAUCGUGAGGACUCAAAACUGCAUAACUUGGGUAUCGGAUGGGUAAGCGGAAUUCCAGGAGUAGCAGUGAAAUGCGUAGAUAUUUGGAAGAACACCAAAGGCGAAGGCAGCUUACUGGACGAUGACUGACGCUCAGGCACGAAAGCGUGGGGAGCAAAAA
rnacentral:rRNA from 1 species